ACAACAAUCAGGCUUCAGUAGGUCAGGAGACCUUCGAGUCAGCAGUGAGGGCUAACUCCACUCUAAAGGGCAAAGUGCAAGGAGAUCAGGUACAGAAGAGCUCACUAAAUGCAUGUCAGGGUGUUAGAGGUGUUAGCAAAGGAGGUGCUCUUGGAAGAGUUUAGAGGUGUUAGCAAAGGAGGUGCUCUUGGAAGAGUUUAGAGGUGUUAGCAAAGGAGGUCCUCUUGGAAGAGUUUAGAGGUGUUAGCAAAGGAGCUGCUCUUGGAAGAGUUUAGAGGUGUUAGCAAAGGAGGAGCUCUUGUGUUAGCAAAGGAGCUGCUCUUGGAAGAGUUUAGAGGUGUUAGCAAAGGAGGAGCUCUUGGAAGAGUUGAGUCUUUAAGAGAUUGUUGAAUAGGGAUACCGCUGCUCUGAUAGCAGUUAGUAAAAUUGGUUUGGUUCAUGUGUAUGUUCCUGCAUACUAAGAUUAGUUUUCUAAGUGUGUGCAGAUUAAAAGUUUACUUUCUGUGCAUAUAUUAAGUGUGAGGGUCUAUUGUGUGUGUGUGUGUGUGUGUGUGUGUGUGUGUGUGUGUGUGUGUGAGCGUGCAUGCAUGCCGGAGAUUUAGUUAGCGUGUGUGUGAGCAUGCGUGCAGGAGGUUUAGUUAGCGUGUGUGUGUGUGAU
ensembl:lncRNA